GAUGAACGCUGGCGGCGUGCCUAAUACAUGCAAGUCGAGCGAACGGACGAGAAGCUUGCUUCUCUGAUGUUAGCGGCGGACGGGUGAGUAACACGUGGAUAACCUACCUAUAAGACUGGGAUAACUUCGGGAAACCGGAGCUAAUACCGGAUAAUAUUUUGAACCGCAUGGUUCAAAAGUAAAAGACGGUCUUGCUGUCACUUAUAGAUGGAUCCGCGCUGCAUUAGCUAGUUGGUAAGGUAACGGCUUUCCAAGGCAACGAUGCAUAGCCGACCUGAGAGGGUGAUCGGCCACACUGGAACUGAGACACGGUCCAGACUCCUACGGGAGGCAGCAGUAGGGAAUCUUCCGCAAUGGGCGAAAGCCUGACGGAGCAACGCCGCGUGAGUGAUGAAGGUCUUCGGAUCGUAAAACUCUGUUAUUAGGGAAGAACAUAUGUGUAAGUAACUGUGCACAUCUUGACGGUACCUAAUCAGAAAGCCACGGCUAACUACGUG
rnacentral:rRNA from 1 species